rnacentral:misc_RNA from 1 species
GAUGAAGAACGCAGCGAAAUGCGAUAAGUAAUGUGAAUUGCAGAAUUCAGUGAAUCAUCGAAUCUUUGAACGCACCUUGCGCUCCUUGGUAUUCCAAGGAGCAUGCCUGUUUGAGUAUCAUUAAAUUAUCAACUGUGCCAAUUUGGUUACAGAUUGGAUGUGGGAGAUUCUUUUUGCAGGCCUUUGACUUCUCUUUGAGAAAAAAAUAAAAGGUCGGCUCUCCUGAAAUGUAUUAGCAGUGCCUUUGUUGGUUCAUUAGGUGUGAUAAAUUGUCUACAUCUUCACAUGAUACCUUCAUUUGUAAAGGUUAUAUUGCUUCUAAAUUGUCUUUGAUUGGACGCAAAACAUAUAUAAUGUUUGACAAACUUGAUCUCAAAUCAGGCAGGACUACCCGCUGAGCUUAAGCAUAUCAAUAAGCGGAGGA